CUAGCCGUAAACUAUGCUCGCUAGGGGUUUGGAGUUUACUCCAAGUUCCGUAAGCUAACGCGUUAAGCGAGCCGCCUGGGGAGUACGACCGCAAGGUUAAAACUCAAAGGAAUUGACGGGGACCCGCACAACCAGUGGAGCAUGUGGUUUAAUUCGAGACGAAACGAAGAACCUUACCCAGUUUUGACAUGCUAUCGUUUUAGGCACCUGGAAACAGGAGCUGAUCCUUAGAAAUUUGGAUGAUAGCACAGGUGU
rnacentral:rRNA from 1 species